rnacentral:lncRNA from 1 species
AUAGACUUUAGAACGCUACUUUCUACAAUUAGUUAAGGCGAGGAAACAAGACAUCGUUCAACAAAUGAGAGAGAGUCAAAGUUCAGUUUGGUCGUACUGAAAGAACCAUUGUUUACAUGGGUGUGGUCUUUUGUGAACUGUAAUCUUGGUUUGCUGUUUUCAUCUUCGCUUUGCAGCAUUAUGCAGUUUUUAUUGAAGGUAAACGAGAGAAGAAGUUGAAGUUUAUUUUAAUGCAAGUGGUCUUGCAUGGUUUCUUAUCAGUUAACUUUUCAUCUUGCAGACUCUUGUAGUUCAUUAUGGAACAAUAGAAAACUCCGGAUGCCAUUAAAUUAAGGAACAUUGGUUGUAUUAGUCCUCAUUUGCCCAGGAAGUAGAUGUGUGCCUAUGGUCAUAAAGAAAGCAUGGAAGUGCCUUUUUCUAUUGGGAAUGGAGAAAGUGUGCUGUUGCUAAAGGAAGGAUUCAUGACAAUAAACUGGUUGUUCAACAAAUGAGAAGGAAUUACGGUCAAUUUUGAUGCUACUAAAACAACUGAUGCUUUUGAAGUCUUCACCUUGCAACAUUAUGCAAUUAAUUUUGGCCUUAAGAAUAUGGGGCGAUUGGAAAUGAAUUUAGAAGCCAUCAAAACAACAAAUUGUCUGCAGUGGUGUCCUUUCUAGAUUUGGUUUGCUCAACUCACUGAUAAACUAUAGAAAGCUACUUUGUAUAGUUAACUGUGGCGUGUGUACAUAACUUAAUCAAUAGAGCAUUAGAAGAACUCCAGAUUUUGUUUAAAUUAUGGAGCAUUGGUUGUCUCAGUCGUCAAUCGCUCCAGAAAGUUGCUGUACCUAUGGUCCUAGAAAAAAAAGCAUGAAAACGCUAUUUUUCUAUUGUGAACAUUGGAACGGAGACUGCUGUUGCUGAAGAAAGUAUUUAUGACAAUGAACUGGUUGUCGUAACAAAUUAGAAGGAAUUGGUGCUACUGAAACAACCGAUACUUUUGACGUUUUCAACUUGCAACAUUAUACAGUUAGUUUUGGCUCUGAGAAUGGGGAGCCACUGAAACAACAGAAGUGAUAUCCCUCUUAGAUUUGCUUUGCUCAUUAUACUGGUAGACUUUGGAACGCUACUUUCUACAGUUAGUUAAGGUGAGAAAACAAGACGUAAUCAAUAUUAAUUGCUCUUUAUUAAUCUACAGUGGCAUUUCUUUUAAAUUGUUAUCUAUUGGCCAGAGUAUAGAUUGAUGGUAUGGGUAUGACGUAUGUAUAGUAUUUUAAAUAUCUAUAGUCCACAGCAUCUAUGGUGUGUCGUUUAACAUUUAUCUAUUGUUUACAGUUUAAAUGGACUGGUGCAUCGGUGGAAUUUUAAUAAUUAUCUACUGUCUACAUUAUAAAUUAAUGUUAUAUGCAUCUAUGAUUAUUUCACAUUUAUAUGUCAAAUUUGGUCUGUCAUGUAAACUUGAUGAUUGUCGCCAUUUUAUGAUUCAGAUGUUUUACUUGGUUUUUGAUGCGUGUUUUUAGAGAUCGUUUAACAAAUGAGAGGGAGUUGAAUGUUCAGUUUGGUCGUACUGAAACAACCAUUGUCUACAUGGGUGUGGUCUUUGGUGAACUAUAUUCUUGGUUUGCUGUUUUCGUCUUCGCUUUGCUUUGCA